GCCCUCGUGGCUCAGGGGAUAGAGCGUCUGCCUCCGGAGCAGAAGGCCACAGGUUCGAAUCCUGUCGAGGGCGCCA
rnacentral:tRNA from 2 species